rnacentral:rRNA from 1 species
CAUGCAGUCGAGCGGACAGAUGGGAGCUUGCUCCCUGAUGUUAGCGGCGGACGGGUGAGUAACACGUGGGUAACCUGCCUGUAAGACUGGGAUAACUCCGGGAAACCGGGGCUAAUACCGGAUGGUUGUUUGAACCGCAUGGUUCAAACAUAAAAGGUGGCUUCGGCUACCACUUACAGAUGGACCCGCGGCGCAUUAGCUAGUUGGUGAGGUAACGGCUCACCAAGGCGACGAUGCGUAGCCGACCUGAGAGGGUGAUCGGCCACACUGGGACUGAGACACGGCCCAGACUCCUACGGGAGGCAGCAGUAGGGAAUCUUCCGCAAUGGACGAAAGUCUGACGGAGCAACGCCGCGUGAGUGAUGAAGGUUUUCGGAUCGUAAAGCUCUGUUGUUAGGGAAGAACAAGUACCGUUCGAAUAGGGCGGUACCUUGACGGUACCUAACCAGAAAGCCACGGCUAACUACGUGCCAGCAGCCGCGGUAAUACGUAGGUGGCAAGCGUUGUCCGGAAUUAUUGGGCGUAAAGGGCUCGCAGGCGGUUUCUUAAGUCUGAUGUGAAAGCCCCCGGCUCAACCGGGGAGGGUCAUUGGAAACUGGGGAACUUGAGUGCAGAAGAGGAGAGUGGAAUUCCACGUGUAGCGGUGAAAUGCGUAGAGAAUGUGGAGGAACACCAGUGGCGAAGGCGACUCUCUGGUCUGUAACUGACGCUGAGGAGCGAAAGCGUGGGGAGCGAACAGGAUUAGAUACCCUGGUAGUCCACGCCGUAAACGAUGAGUGCUAAGUGUUUAGGGGGGUUUCCGCCCCUUAGUGCUGCAGCUAACGCAUUAAGCACUCCGCCUGGGGAGUACGGUCGCAAGACUGAAACUCAAAGGAAUUGACGG